rnacentral:rRNA from 1 species
GGAGGACCGAACCGACUAAUGUUGAAAAAUUAGCGGAUGACCUGUGGCUGGGGGUGAAAGGCCAAUCAAACCGGGAGAUAGCUGGUUCUCCCCGAAAGCUAUUUAGGUAGCGCCUCGUGAAUUCAUCUCCGGGGGUAGAGCACUGUUUCGGCUAGGGGGCCAUCCCGGCUUACCAACCCGAUGCAAACUGCGAAUACCGGAGAAUGUUAUCACGGGAGACACACGGCGGGUGCUAACGUCCGUCGUGAAGAGGGAAACAACCCAGACCGCCAGCUAAGGUCCCAAAGUCAUGGUUAAGUGGGAAACGAUGUGGGAAGGCCCAGACAGCCAGGAUGUUGGCUUAGAAGCAGCCAUCAUUUAAAGAAAGCGUAAUAGCUCACUGGUCGAGUCGGCCUGCGCGGAAGAUGUAACGGGGCUAAACCAUGCACCGAAGCUGCGGCAGCGACACUGUGUGUUGUUGGGUAGGGGAGCGUUCUGUAAGCCUGUGAAGGUGUGUCGUGAGGCAUGCUGGAGGUAUCAGAAGUGCGAAUGCUGACAUAAGUAACGAUAAAGCGGGUGAAAAGCCCGCUCGCCGGAAGACCAAGGGUUCCUGUCCAACGUUAAUCGGGGCAGGGUGAGUCGACCCCUAAGGCGAGGCCGAAAGGCGUAGUCGAUGGGAAACGGGUUAAUAUUCCCGUACUUGGUGUUACUGCGAAGGGGGGACGGAGAAGGCUAUGUUGGCCGGGCGACGGUUGUCCCGGUUUAAGCGUGUAGGUGUGUGUUCCAGGUAAAUCCGGUUCACUUUAACACUGAGGCGUGACGACGAGGCACUACGGUGCUGAAGCAACAAAUGCCCUGCUUCCAGGAAAAGCCUCUAAGCAUCAGGUAACAUCAAAUCGUACCCCAAACCGACACAGGUGGUCAGGUAGAGAAUACCAAGGCGCUUGAGAGAACUCGGGUGAAGGAACUAGGCAAAAUGGUGCCGUAACUUCGGGAGAAGGCACGCUGACACGUAGGUGAAGUGAUUUACUCAUGGAGCUGAAGUCAGUCGAAGAUACCAGCUGGCUGCAACUGUUUAUUAAAAACACAGCACUGUGCAAACACGAAAGUGGACGUAUACGGUGUGACGCCUGCCCGGUGCCGGAAGGUUAAUUGAUGGGGUCAGCGCAAGCGAAGCUCCUGAUCGAAGCCCCGGUAAACGGCGGCCGUAACUAUAACGGUCCUAAGGUAGCGAAAUUCCUUGUCGGGUAAGUUCCGACCUGCACGAAUGGCGUAAUGAUGGCCAGGCUGUCUCCACCCGAGACUCAGUGAAAUUGAACUCGCUGUGAAGAUGCAGUGUACCCGCGGCAAGACGGAAAGACCCCGUGAACCUUUACUAUAGCUUGACACUGAACAUUGAGCCUUGAUGUGUAGGAUAGGUGGGAGGCUUUGAAGUGUGGACGCCAGUCUGCAUGGAGCCGACCUUGAAAUACCACCCUUUAAUGUUUGAUGUUCUAACGUGGACCCGUUACCCGGGUUGCGGACAGUGUCUGGUGGGUAGUUUGACUGGGGCGGUCUCCUCCUAAAGAGUAACGGAGGAGCACGAAGGUUGGCUAAUCCUGGUCGGACAUCAGGAGGUUAGUGCAAUGGCAUAAGCCAGCUUGACUGCGAGCGUGACGGCGCGAGCAGGUGCGAAAGCAGGUCAUAGUGAUCCGGUGGUUCUGAAUGGAAGGGCCAUCGCUCAACGGAUAAAAGGUACUCCGGGGAUAACAGGCUGAUACCGCCCAAGAGUUCAUAUCGACGGCGGUGUUUGGCACCUCGAUGUCGGCUCAUCACAUCCUGGGGCUGAAGUAGGUCCCAAGGGUAUGGCUGUUCGCCAUUUAAAGUGGUACGCGAGCUGGGUUUAGAACGUCGUGAGACAGUUCGGUCCCUAUCUGCCGUGGGCGCUGGAGAACUGAGGGGGGCUGCUCCUAGUACGAGAGGACCGGAGUGGACGCAUCACUGGUGUUCGGGUUGUCAUGCCAAUGGCACUGCCCGGUAGCUAAAUGCGGAAGAGAUAAGUGCUGAAAGCAUCUAAGCACGAAACUUGCCCCGA